rnacentral:lncRNA from 1 species
AAUUGAUACUAACGUAUUUGUUUACUCUCUGAUUCAAUGAUAUUGAUUGCCCUUUUAUGCAUUUUUUGUUUUAGCGAAUUAUCACUUUUUUGUGUGAUCAAUUAUCGUGCACAUUAAAAUUAAUCCAAUUAUAAUAAUUAACUGAUUAUAUGAUCUUGAAUAUAUUAAUAUUGUGCCUAUAGGAGUGUAACUUCUGUUAAAAGCCAUUGACGGCGGACUUUUCACAUUAUUAGAUGUACUCUUGAGAUUUCAACUUAUCUAGUUUUAGAAUCGAUUGUUUUAAAUGAGACCCUUGGAACACAGGGGUUCGUUACAAAUGUCUAUAUCAUAUGUGUAUUGCAGACACUUGUAAUACAUGUCACAUAAUGAUCUACAUUUAAAAACAAGUAAAAUGUACACAAAACUAGAUCAAUGUCCAGCCAAAGUUAAUUUUACACAUGAGACUUCAAAAGGGAAUAAUAUACAUUAAAAUAAGUGUCACCAAAUUAAAAAAAGACCAAUAUUUGUCAGCUUAUUAUAAGUUAUUUCAACACAUUGAUGUCAAGGUUAAUUUGACUUAUGAGACUCCAAAAGGCAAAAAUAUACCUUAAAAUAAGUGUCAUCAAAUUAAUAAGGACCAAUAUUUGUCAGCUUAUAAUAGCUUUUUGAAUGCAGUUCACAAUAAGACCUGUAUUUAGUUCUGUUCCAAAUCUUAAUCAUUUUAACCUUGAAAGUUUACUUAACAUGUUUUAGUCAGUCAAACCAUGAUCAAUCAUAGAAUAUGGGAGGGGGUGUCUGAACCCUCUUGGAUAUAUAUUCUGAUUCUCUAACCUUGUAUCUGUAUACUUGUAUGAUUUGAGGUGUAUUUUUACUUUUUCUCGUGAGUGCAACUACACUUAGUCCCCUAGUUUUAGGCGAAAUUUUUCAAAAAAUGUUUAUGUGUCAAAUAGAUCAGGAUUAUUAGUAAUUUAGAAUGAUACUUUGUGAAAAAUUCAAUUUAGCACUUACAUAAUUUGGUUAAAUGCAACACAAAUUUUCCAAUUCCAAAAAGUGACUUGUUAUUCUUCACUCUUCUUUACAGCUUGUCCGUGAGAACAGCAUUGGAAGUCUGUCAGGGGUUCUUGGAUGGACAUUAGGUACAGCCGACCUGUGACCAAUGUCGGAAGCAUACUACCCCAGACCACCAGGACUGUCUUACUGUUAGUGGACAGAACCCUGGUCAGAUAUAUCUAGGAAGGUGGUCUGAGCUCUAGUUGGGUGAUUUGGCGUCUGGGGUAUCUGAAGCUGGAUAGAUUUAUGACAUUUCAGCUGCAUUAUUCACUCCUUUAACAAAGUUUUUAACCUUGACGAACACCAUUAUUGAGGUACAAGGAUCUUUAUGGUUAUAUGUGGGGAUCUGAUAUCAUGUACCCCUCCGUGAUAGUCCUGAGGGCAACAUGUAAUCAUACAGAAUCAAGUGCUGCAUAUUGGUUGUUUCCGAGCUGGGGUUAAAUUCUUUUGUGACUGGAUGGAUGAGUGCAGCUGAACUAGAAUAAAUCUGUUUUUGCAACAGUACCUCUUGCGUUGGAAAGUCUGACUAGGGUAAAGGUCAUCUAAACCAGAGUAUCUGACUGACGGAAUAGGAUGGCCUGCCAGCCUCCAGAGGAGGAGGAAGCGCCAUCCAAAGUGCAGAGAUCGUCGCCCUUCUUGAUCUCUUUCCAUAGGCCCCCGGUCCAUAGGAGGACAUGGGGGACGUGCCUGGAGGUGGCACUGAGACACUGCCAUGUUUCGUGCCGGUUUGACUUUCUUCACACUGAGCCACAGUGUGGAGGCAGUCAAAAGGGCCGUACUAAGGGCCCAAGGGUGUGACAUAGUGGCAGGUCUAUGUCGCCGUAGAGCGGGGAAAUUCCGUUAGGCAAGUACGAUGUUUGGUUCGUCGACUUUAAUGGACUCAUCGGAAGCAUGAGUGCCUUUUCCUGAAGGAGAUUGUCCAACGUCUCGGACAGUCACCUGGUCAGGAUUUUCUAAUGCGUGGAGGCUAAUUCUAGAUGGAUGACUUAGCAACGGAAAUAUUUGGAACUCAGUUGGUUUAGUCAUUUCUCAACUUCGAACUGUCACUUCUUUGACAAUGCAUUUAAUUCCAAAUACAGACAUGAAUCUGACACGAGUAUGGCUUUACAGCAUCAUGAUUGGGACGUCAGGCCUGUGCGGCCGGGCUUGAUGCACCAAUGGACCGCCAUGUGUGUUGUACUGCUCUGUAAAUCUUGUGCUGGUGGAUUGUUUGUGUCUGGACUUCCAUACAUUGUGAAAGAAUGGACAAAACUAAUUGGGACAUGACUAAAUCUUCUUGAGGCUUCAUCUAUCUUCUUUGCUGGGAAGUCUGUCUAUUGUCAAGAUGACACAAGUUUGAAAAAUCCUGACCUCAGGACGGAAAGAUUGCCCCAUAAAAAAACCAAGUACCUAAAUCUUGUA